UACGAAGGGGGCGAGCGUUGUUCGGAAUUACUGGGCGUAAAGGGCUCGUAGGCGGCCAACUAAGUCAGACGUGAAAUCCCUCGGCUUAACCGGGGAACUGCGUCUGAUACUGGAUGGCUAGAGGUUGGGAGAGGGAUGCGGAAUUCCAGGUGUAGCGGUGAAAUGCGUAGAUAUCUGGAGGAACACCGGUGGCGAAGGCGGCAUCCUGGACCAAUUCUGACGCUGAGGAGCGAAAGCCAGGGGAGCAAGCGGG
rnacentral:rRNA from 1 species